UGGCGGCUGCCUUCACAUGCAAGUCGAACGGUAACGCGGGGCAACCUGGCGACGAGUGGCAAACGGGUGAGUAAUACAUCGGAACGUGCCCAGUAGUGGGGGAUAGCCCGGCGAAAGCCGGAUUAAUACCGCAUACGACCUACGGGUGAAAGCGGGGGAUCGCAAGACCUCGCGCUAUUGGAGCGGCCGAUGUCGGAUUAGCUAGUUGGUGGGGUAAAAGCCUACCAAGGCUACGAUCCGUAGCUGGUCUGAGAGGACGACCAGCCACACUGGGACUGAGACACGGCCCAGACUCCUACGGGAGGCAGCAGUGGGGAAUUUUGGACAAUGGGCGCAAGCCUGAUCCAGCCAUGCCGCGUGCGGGAAGAAGGCCUUCGGGUUGUAAACCGCUUUUGUCAGGGAAGAAACGGUUCAUAUUAAUACUAUGGACUAAUGACGGUACCUGAAGAAUAAGCACCGGCUAACUACGUGCCAGCAGCCGCGGUAAUAAUAGUCUACUGAAUUCUGC
rnacentral:rRNA from 1 species